ensembl:lncRNA
CCCUCCCUCCCUCCCUCCCUCCAUCUCUGUGACCUUUCUCUUCCACCUCCUUACCCGUCUCCCUCACACUCAGCAAGACAACACAUUUAGAUAACGUUAUAGCUGGCUAGAGCAUUACUAGAUUUGCUGACACUUUGAGCUAAUGUCCGAUGUGGACGGUCAGCACACUAGCCCAGCGUUCGGACUGGAGUCUGAGGGUCCGUUGCUUCUGCUGUAGCAUUAUCGUAUCAGGGAUAUGCGUGGAAUGAUCAGGGAUUGCUUCUAUCUCAUCCUACAUUGCCAUUUUGCCACCUGGCUGUUGUGAAUGGGAAUAGCCAUAGAAAUAGGUAGAGAGCCCACCUCCUAUCUAUAGCCAUGGCUUCUUCUGUGAUAGCAUGGGCAGUGCCAUUGCCACUCUAUCCAACUAUGUGGGAUCUCUAUGGGGAAAAGCCAGUCGAGUGACUUUUGUCAUAAUAAGCUACAGUAGAGGGAGGGAGGGAGGGAGAGAGGGAGAGAGGGAGAGAGGGAGGGAGGAGAGAGAGAGAGAGAGAGAGAGAGAGAGAGAGAGAGAGAGAGAGAGCGAGAGAGAGAGAGAGAGAGAGAGAGGUCUGCUGACCAGACAUAUAUGUGUGUCUGUCACAGUGGAAGCUGCUGAGGGGAGGAUGGCUCAUGAUAAUGGCUGGAUAGGAGUGAGUGGAAGGGCAUCAAACACAUGGAAACCAUGGAAACCAUGUAUUUGGUGUAUGUGAUACCGUUCCACUGAUUCCACUCCAGCCAUUCCCACAAGCCUGUCCUCCCCAAUUAAGAUGCCACCAACCUCCUGUGGUCUGUCACAAAAUGAGGUGUGUUGGUGUCAGUCAGUCACAAGGCAUUCACAUGGCUCGCUCACUUGUUUCAGGGAGGAGUUUCCAUUUCCUAGGUAAUCCCAAUCUUUACAUAACCUUUGACCUUUCAACUGAUGAGUUGGAACCAGGAAUGUCUGUCUGCUCCACAGAUCCUAACCCAGUGAUAAGAAGUGGUUGUAAAGACAUAUUUUCAAGCACUCUUCUUCACUGGGGAGGAUGUAGUUCUCACUGUAAGUUUACAACUGGUCCUGUAUUUACUUCUAUCUAUCUAUCACCCUGUCCAAGGUGUACAAAUUGUGUGAUCGCAUGAAAAGGCUGCAUGAGUUAUAUAGAAGGUGGAAUAUAUACUAUAGCUUUGACCAACCAUGAGAACUGUUGUUGACUAGCCCCUAUAUGAGACAUCCAACAGACUGAUGGAGGUGUUUGAUGGCUUGUCCUACUCUCUUUGUCUACAGAAAUCUAUUAUAUUUUAGAACACAACGCACUAGAACUCGUUGCAUCUGUGUGCAGUUACAGUGUUCUGCCACCGGAUGUCAGUGACGAGCCGCUCUGUUCUACUUGCUUUGGACGACCCUGGCCCUGUCUGAAUACCCAUUCUAGUGUACGUACUUAAACUGCGUAAUAUGUACUCAUCGUCGCGUACCAGUGAUAGAAAAAGUACUUAAUUGUCACACUUGAGUAAAAGUAUAAGGUACCUUAAUAGAAAAUGUGAAAAUCACUCAGUAAAAUACUACUUUUGUAAAAGUCUAAAAGUAUUUGGUUUUAAAUAUACUUAAGUACCAAAAGUAAAUGUAAUUGCUAAAAUAUAGUAAGUAUGAAAAGUAAAAGUCUAAAUAAUUUCAAAUUCCUUACAUUAAGCAAACCAGACGACACCAUUUAAAUGAUUUAUUUACAGAUAGUCAGGGGCACAUAGGCUGAGUGUAGGUGGAUUUUUCCAAAUUCAACAGACAUUCACGACAUUAACCAACCUGAUAAUAGCUCAUUUACCAUUUGAAUAAAUUCUCUAUACCAUGAAAAGAAUAGGAAUGGAGUCAGGCUGGUUACAGACAGACUAUCACAUUCCACGUCUAGUAUAUCCCAUCUGUCCUAUUUAAACAGGACUGAAGACAGAAACACAUUAUUUCUUCAAUUUCAACAUAUUUCUAGUGAAACCAAAGUGCCGUAACAUAAAUCAAUUCUAUCAAAUAGCCUAGUACACACAGCAACACUUGUAAUAUGUUCACAUCAAAAAGGCUACUGCACAGAAACACGUGGACAAAAUUCAGAACCGCUGAACAGCAACAUAAUGAACUAAAGCGCCGACCAAUAGGAACGAGAUCAGAAUGACUGCUAAGGCUUGAUCCGUAAAUUAAAUAAUGAAAUAGGUAGCCUAACCUACAGAUCUAAAACAAUCCCCAUCUUAAAAUCAAAAGGCCUGAUUAACAUAACAGCAAUAACGCAGCCACAUCCCGAGUCUCGGGUGCUGACUCGCUAUUUGGCAUCUUCCCAAUUAAGUAGCCUAGUUUUGUUGUUUGGCUACUUGAAGUGUACUUGGGCCUAUCACUGGCAGCUCUCCUCUUCUAAUGGAUUGUGGAAGUGUGCAUCGAAUUCUACUAGAUGAAGACCCGAAAUGGGACAAACAUCCUGGUAUUGAGCUCGCCUUAGGACACCUGCGUUACCGUUUGACAGGUGUACCGCCCCAGUCAAACUCCCCACCUGCCACUGUCCCCGGAGCGGGUCAACCAUACUCGAUUUUCAGACAAACGCACAUAGGCUACUAUAAAAUACAUUUUCACAUACUGAGAAUGCCUCAUGUGCGAUUAAGUAGUGUCCCGCUAUUUGUUGAUGUCUGUAGGUAACUCCUCCCCAUAUCUAACUGAUCAGCUGUUGUCAAAACCGAAAUGAGUAUGACAUCCUGGCACUUCGUUUUUCCAAAUGUCGCAUACUAUUAAACUUUUUUUCCACAAACGGUCUACUAUGGGUAUUCGGACAAAACCUCAUGUCUCUCCACAUCUCUGCUCUUUCUCCUGUACCAGUAGUGGGGGGUACUCUCUCCUGUACCAGUAGUGGAGGGAACUCUCUCCUGUACCAGUAGUGGAGGGAACUCUCUCCUGUACCAGUAGUGGGGGAACUCUCUCUCCUGUACCAGUAGGGGGGAACUCUCUCCUGUACCAGUAGUGGAGGGAACUCUCUCCUGUACCAGUAGUGGGGGAACUCUCUCCUGUACCAGUAGUGGGGGAACUCUCUCCUGUACCAGUAGUGGAGGGAACUCUCUUCUGUACCAGUAGUGGGGGAACUCUCUCCUGUACCAGUAGUGGAGGGAACUCUCUCCUGUACCAGUAGUGGAGGGAACUCUCUCCUGUACCAGUAGGGGGUACUCUCUCCUGUACCAGUAGUGGGGGAACUCUCUCCUGUACCAGUAGUGGGGAACUCUCUCUCCUGUACCAGUAGUGGGGGGAACUCUCUCCUGUACCAGUAGUGGGGGAACUCUCUCCUGUACCAGUAGUGGAGGGAACUUUCUCUCCUGUACCAGUAGUGGGGGAACUCUCUCCUGUACCAGUAGUGGAGGGAACUCUCUCCUGUACCAGUAGUGGAGGGAACUCUCUCUCCUGUACCAGUAGUGGGGAACUCUCUCUCCUGUACCAGUAGUGGAGGGAACUUUCUCUCCUGUACCAGUAGUGGAGGGAACUCUCUCUCCUUUACCAGUAGUGGGGAACUCUCUCUCCUGUACUAGUAGUGGGGGAACUCUCUCUCCUGUACCAGUAGUGGGGGUACUCUCUCCUGUACCAGUAGUGGGGCUACUCUCUCUCCUGUACCAGUAGUGGGGGUACUCUCUCCUGUACCAGUAGUGGAGGGAACUCUCUCUCCUGUACCAGUAGUGGGGGAACUCUCUCUCCUGUACCAGUAGUGGGGGAACUCUCUCCUGUACCAGUAGUGGGGGAACUCUCUCUCCUGUACCAGUAGUGGGGGAACUCUCUCCUGUACCAGUAGUGGGGGAACUCUCUCUCCUGUACCAGUAGUGGAGGGAACUCUCUCCUGUACCAGUAGUGGGGGUACUCUCUCCUGUACCAGUAGUGGAGGGAACUCUCUCCUGUACCAGUAGUGGAGGGAACUCUCUUCUGUACCAGUAGUGGGGGUACUCUCUCCUGUACCAGUAGUGGAGGGAACUCUCUCUCCUGUACCAGUAGUGGGGGUACUCUCUCCUGUACCAGUAGUGGGGGUACUCUCUCCUGUACCAGUAGUGGGGGUACUCUCUCUCCUGUAACAGUAGUGGGGGGAACUCUCUCCUGUACCAGUAGUGGGGGGAACUCUCUCUCCUGUACCAGUAGUGGAGGGAACUCUCUCCUGUACCAGUAGUGGGGGAACUCUCUCUCCUGUACCAGUAGUGGAGGGAACUCUCUCCUGUACCAGUAGUGGGGGGAACUCUCUCCUGUACUAGUAGUGGGGGGAACUCUCUCUCCUGUACCAGUAGUGGAGGGAACUCUCUCCUGUACCAGUAGUGGGGGGAACUCUCUCCUGUACCAGUAGUGAAGGGAACUCUCUCUCCCCUCCUCUCUCUUCUUCUUUUGUAGAAUGUUAAGGAAUAUAUUUUAAUGUUUUUAUUUAAGGAAGGUGUGCAUACUUUUAAAUGUAUUACUUUCAAUUCAAUUGAUUGUUUUUCUUUUUUUCCUGAAUAGAUAUGCAACACUGAAAGGUUAGAGGACAGCUUUGGCUUAUUGUUUUGACAGUCUGACAUUUUUAUAUCAUUUCAUGUAGGCUAUAUAGUGUUGCCUUGGCCUGUUAUUCUUACAAGCACACUGAUACACACACACACACACACACACACACACACACACACACACACACACACACACACACACACACACACACACACACACACACACACACACACACACACACACACAUGCAUGGGGUACAUGUGGUCUGUGACUACAGUGUGGUUGUGUGUGUGUGUGUGUAUGAGUGUAAGGAAUGUAUAAUGAUAGACCCAACCAGACUCUGGAGACACUAGAUGCGUCCCAAAAAGGAACCCCAGUCACUAUAUAGCUCCCUACGUUUGACCUGGACACAUAGUUCUUCCUAGUGCACUAUGUAGCAAAUAAGGUUCCUUUUAGGGACGUGGACACUAUCUGUGUUAUUUUCCACCAAUGUUAUUGUUUUAAUGAGGAGUCUAUUGUCUUCGUGUUCUUUUCGGAUGAUAAGUCUUCCUUUUGAAUAACCAUCCAUAUCACAUGGGAACACUACAGCUAAUGAUGUCAUCAAGGCCUGACUGCACUAUGGUGAUGAUGUCAUAAUGCUGAGUUCCGUCUCCGUUGGCUGUUCUAAUCUGUUCAUACAGCAUUAGCUUUUUUGUUACUAUACCGAUUCAGUUGUUGACUUCAAAUAAACGUGCAUUUGGGUUAA